GGCUCAAUGGUCUAGUGGUAUGAUUCCUGCUUCGGGUAUUGACGCCCUUCCAUCAUACAUGGGAAUGCAGGAGGCCCCGGGUUCGAAUCCCGGUUGAGCCC